rnacentral:rRNA from 1 species
GAACGGCAGCACGGGAGCAAUCCUGGUGGCGAGUGGCGAACGGGUGAGUAAUAUAUCGGAACGUGCCCAGUCGUGGGGGAUAACGCAGCGAAAGCUGUGCUAAUACCGCAUACGAUCUACGGAUGAAAGCGGGGGAUCGCAAGACCUCGCGCGAUUGGAGCGGCCGAUAUCAGAUUAGCUAGUUGGUGAGGUAAAGGCUCACCAAGGCGACGAUCUGUAGCUGGUCUGAGAGGACGACCAGCCACACUGGAACUGAGACACGGUCCAGACUCCUACGGGAGGCAGCAGUGGGGAAUUUUGGACAAUGGGCGCAAGCCUGAUCCAGCAAUGCCGCGUGCAGGAUGAAGGCCUUCGGGUUGUAAACUGCUUUUGUACGGAACGAAACGGUGAACUCUAAUACAGUUUGCUAAUGACGGUACCGUAAGAAUAAGCACCGGCUAACUACGUGCCAGCAGCCGCGGUAAUACGUAGGGUGCGAGCGUUAAUCGGAAUUACUGGGCGUAAAGCGUGCGCAGGCGGUGAUGUAAGACAGAUGUGAAAUCCCCGGGCUCAACCUGGGACCUGCAUUUGUGACUGCAUCGCUAGAGUACGGCAGAGGGGGAUGGAAUUCCGCGUGUAGCAGUGAAAUGCGUAGAUAUGCGGAGGAACACCGAUGGCGAAGGCAAUCCCCUGGGCCUGUACUGACGCUCAUGCACGAAAGCGUGGGGAGCAAACAGGAUUAGAUACCCUGGUAGUCCACGCCCUAAACGAUGUCAACUGGUUGUUGGGUCUUCACUGACUCAGUAACGAAGCUAACGCGUGAAGUUGACCGCCUGGGGAGUACGGCCGC